UCUACGGGAGGCAGCAGUGAGGAAUAUUGGUCAAUGGACGAGAGUCUGAACCAGCCAAGUAGCGUGAAGGAUGACUGCCCUAUGGGUUGUAAACUUCUUUUAUAAAGGAAUAAAACGAGGCACGUGUGCCUUUUUGCAUGUACUUUAUGAAUAAGGAUCGACUAACUCCGUGCCAGCAGCCGCGGUAAUACGGAGGAUCCGAGCGUUCUCCGGAUUUAUUGGGUUUAAAGGGAGCGUAGAUGGGUUGUUAAGUCAGUUGUGAAAGUUUGCGGCUCAACCGUAAAAUUGCAAUUGAUACUGGCAGUCUUGAGUACAGUUGAGGUAAGCGGAAUUCGUGGUGUAGCGGGGAAAUGCUUAGAUAUCACGAAGAACCCCGAUGGCGAAGGCAGAUUACUAAACUGUGACUGACAUUGAUGCUCGAAAGUGUGGGUAUCAAACAGGAUUAGAUACCCGGGUAGUC
rnacentral:rRNA from 1 species